ACGUAGGUGACAAGCGUUAUCCGGAAUUACUGGGCGUAAAGCGCACGCAGGCGGCUGAUUAAGUCUGACGUGAAAUCUCCUGGCUUAACUGGGAGGGGUCGUUGGAAACUGGUCGGCUUGAGGCAGUGAGAGGGGUGUGGAAUUCCCGGUGUAGUGGUGGAAUGCGUAGAUAUCGGGAGGAACACCAGUGGCGAAGGCGGCUCGCUGGCUCAGGCCUGACGCUGAGGGGCGAAAGCGUGGGGAGCGAACGG
rnacentral:rRNA from 1 species